rnacentral:rRNA from 1 species
CAGUCGCCACGGGAAUACAGAGGGUGCGAGCGUUAAUCGGAUUUACUGGGCGUAAAGCGUGCGUAGGCGGCUAAUUGAGUCGGAUGUGAAAUCCCCGAGCUUAACUUGGGAAUUGCAUUCGAUACUGGUUAGCUAGAGUGUGGGAGAGGAUGGUAGAAUUCCAGGUGUAGCGGUGAAAUGCGUAGAGAUCUGGAGGAAUACCGAUGGCGAAGGCAGCCAUCUGGCCUAACACUGACGCUGAGGUACGAAAGCGUGGGGAGCAAACAGGAUUAGAUACCCCAGUAGUCCCUGUCUCUUAUAC